rnacentral:rRNA from 1 species
ACGAACGCUGGCGGCGUGCUUAACACAUGCACGUCGAACGGGUCUGCCCUGUUUUUUGCGGGGUGGGUCAGUGGCGAACGGGUGAGUAACACGUGAGUAACCUGCCCCUCACUUCUGGAUAACCGCUUGAAAGGGUGGCUAAUACGGGGUGUUCUGGCUGUGCCGCAUGGUGUGGCUGGGAAAGAUUCACUUUUGUGGUGUUUUGGUGGGGGAUGGGCUCGCGGCCUAUCAGCUUGUUGGUGGGGUGAUGGCCUGCCAAGGCUUUGACGGGUAGCCGGCCUGAGAGGGUGGGCGGUCACACUGGGACUGAGAUACGGCCCAGACUCCUGCGGGAGGCAGCAGUGGGGGGUAUUGCACAAUGGGCGGAAGCCUGAUGCAGCGACGUCGCGUGAGGGAUGGAGGCCUUCGGGUUGUGAACCUCUUUCGCCGGUGAAGAAGGUCCUGCUCUUUGUGGUGGGGUUGACGGUAGCCGGGUUAUGAAGCGCCGGCUAACUACGUG